GGAGGAGUCGCCUAGCUUGGUUUAUGGCGCACGAUUGGAAAUCGUGUAAACGUUAAUAGCGUUUCGAGGGUUCAAAUCCCUCCUCCUCCGCCA
rnacentral:tRNA from 1 species